rnacentral:tRNA from 1 species
CAGAGGGUAGUUUAUAAAAAUAUUAGUUUUGGGGACUAAAGAUAGGGCGUCAGCUUUACCUCUGA